UUCCUGGCUCAGCUUCUCCCACUCAUGCCUGGAGCCAUCUCACCCUCCACACACGCACCCUCAUCUCUGCCGCUCUCCCUCCGGAUCAGCUGAGAACGCUGAGUCAUCGAGUACCCCCCACCCCUCCGAGCCUGCAAUGUGUCAACAGCCAGCCCACCCGGGCUCAGCUCCCAGCCGCCUGAGUCAGCCCUGACUGAGCCUCUCCCCGGAUCCUGUCUCACCGGCCUUCCCCUCCAGCUCCAGGCCCUGCUCUUCAGGAUUCUCAUGAGGACAAAUUAGAGCACCUGUCACUAUAGCCAGCACUCAAGAAAUGGGAUUAUCAUCAGAGGGAAAAAUGCACAGCCUCACCAGCUAUUAAACAUAUGGAAAUGAUGACAAUUUAAAGCUUAUAAAUAACAUUAGCGGUGGCUUGGAUUUAUUGUUGUGGCCUCCGGAAGAACUUGGGCACAGUGUAACUUCCUGGGGCCCGAGGUUGUUAAUCGGUGAAUUGUUCAUGAAGGACAGUGCUCACU
rnacentral:lncRNA from 1 species